ACCUUCACAAAGGGGUGCCGUGAGGCUGAGAGAUACCCUUCGAACCUGUUUCGUUAGUACGAGCGUAGGGAUUGUGAAUUGGGGCAAA
rnacentral:ncRNA from 2 species